UAGUUUGGCAGUAUGCUAGCCCUUUUCUCCAUAAAUUUUCUAAACUUCAAAUUCGAUUAGCUAUUGCCAUUGUUGCUAAAAGCAGAUGCAAUUUUUUUUUUACCUUGCACAUACUAUUAACCCAUUAAUAAAAAUAUGUGAUAAUAAUGUUCAGUUUUUUAUUUUUCAGAAUCAAUCAUGUCAGCAUCAUCAUCUGUACUUAAUGAUAAUGUCUUGGAAUCUCCAACUUGUUGGUGUGGUUUGAAAACACCACUAAAGACAUCUCACACGUCGAAAAAUCCCGGAAGGAGAUUUUUCGCUUGCCCAAACUAUAAAACGGGAGAAGCAAGGUGUGAAUUUUUUGUAUGGGCCGAUAUACUUCAUUUGCUAGAGGAUAAUUUUCGUGCCCGUGAGAAUAAGGCGACAAGUAUUUCGUGGAAUGAAGUAUUACAGCGCGAGUAUGCCGUUCGGAAACGAGAAGAUAAAGUGAGAGAAAUGGCAAAGAAUCUGAAAAAGAAAAAGCGAAAACUUUUGAUUUUCUACUGGAUUCUGACAUUUGUAAUAGUGUUUAUUUGGUUUGGAUAAAUACUAUGUAAAGUAGUUGGGCGAACUCUUUUGGGUUUUGCAUGGUUCUUUUGAGGUGCACAUGGUUUGUGGAUCAAGACCAUGUAUGUAAAUUGUAUGGUGUUAACCUAUAAGACUGUGACGAACUUUUGUGCAAUUAAAUUAAUUUUGGUAGACUUUA